UACGGAGGGAGCUAGCGUUAUUCGGAAUUACUGGGCGUAAAGCGCACGUAGGCGGCUUUGUAAGUUAGAGGUGAAAGCCUGGAGCUCAACUCCAGAAUUGCCUUUAAGACUGCAUCGCUCGAAUCCAGGAGAGGUGAGUGGAAUUCCGAGUGUAGAGGUGAAAUUCGUAGAUAUUCGGAAGAACACCAGUGGCGAAGGCGACUCGCUGGACAAGUAUUGACGCUGAGGUGCGAAAGCGUGGGGAGCAAACAGG
rnacentral:rRNA from 1 species